UGGCGAACGGCUGAGUAACACGUGGGCAACCUGCCCUUUGCACUGGGAUAGCCUCGGGAAACCGAGGUUAAUACCGGAUACUCCAUAUCCGUCGCAUGAUAGAUAUGGGAAAGCUCCGGCGGCAAAGGAUGGGCCCGCGGCCUGUUAGCUAGUUGGUGGGGUAGUGGCCUACCAAGGCAAUGAUGGGUAGCCGGGUUGAGAGACCGACCGGCCAGAUUGGGACUGAGACACGGCCCAGACUCCUACGGGAGGCAGCAGCG
rnacentral:rRNA from 1 species